GGGAACGGAGGCUGGGAGCGCCGAGCUGCCUGACGCGCCUACGGGAGAGACGCCGGGCGCGCCCGCUCUCCCGGCGCCUGCCCGGCCGUUUGAAGCCGAGAGGCAGCGGCGGCGCGGUUCUAACCCCAACAGCUGCCCGCCCAGGCGCCCUGCGGGACCCGGCAAACCAAGAUGGAGUAUGAGUGGAAACCUGACGAGCAAGGGCUCCAGCAAAUCCUGCAGUUGUUGAAGGAGUCCCAGUCCCCAGACACCACCAUCCAGAGAACCGUGCAACAAUUCUAGAAACUGGAACAACUUAAUCAGUAUCCAGACUUUAACAACUACUUGAUUUUUGUUCUUACAAAAUUAAAAUCUGAAGGUAUUUUGAUCACAACUAUAGCCUCCAAGGGAGAAUUGCAGAAUUGGCCUGACCUCUUACCAAAACUCUGUAGCCUGUUGGAUUCUGAAGAUUAUAAUACCUGUGAGGGAGCAUUUGGUGCCCUUCAGAAGAUUUGUGAAGAUUCUGCUGAGAUUUUAGACAGUGAUGUUUUAGAUCGUCCUCUCAACAUCAUGAUUCCCAAAUU
rnacentral:sRNA from 1 species